GCCGGAGUCCAAUAUAUCACCAAGGACGCUUAAGAUUAAAGAGCGUUCGACAACACAGACUUUCAAACAAGAUGAAUUCCAUCUCGCAGUAUUUUUGGAGCGAAUAUUUCUGGUUUCCAUCAGGUUAUACGUGGAAAGAUCUCGAAAAUGCCCCUGGAAGUAAAGAGUAUCUGCCCCAGACUAACGAUAUAUUGUGGUCUAUUCCACUUGGAAUUCUUCUGUUAGGGAUAAGAUACAUUUUUGAACAAUAUUUAAUGACACCUCUAGGCUACUGGUGUGGGGUGAAGAGGAAUAAGAAAACUGUCCCAGUUACUCCUAACCCAGUUCUUGAAAGUCACUUUGAGAAAAAUGGCAUAACAUCAAACAAUAACUUAGAGUCUGUAGCUAAGCAAACUGAUAUGACAGUUAGAGAAGUAGAGAGAUGGCUGCGUAACAGAAAAGCCCAAUCAGUAACCAGUGACAUUACUAAAUUCAGGGAGUGUGGGUGGCAUUUUACAUUCUACCUGGGGAUCUUUGUGUAUGGUCUUGUUGUAUUAUGGGAUAAAAACUGGUUUUGGACAACAUCAUUUUGCUGGACUGGAUGGCCAAAAUUAAAUGUUCCAAGGGAGAUUUACUGGUACUAUAUGAUAGAGUUGUCAUUCUACUGGUGUCUUGUUUUCUCAAUGGUGACAGAACAUAAAAGAAAGGAUUUUAAUCAGAUGAUUAUUCACCAUGUUGCUACUAUACUGCUGAUGUCCUUCUCUUGGGCAACGAACUUUGUCCGUAUAGGUACGCUUGUACUUUUAACUCAUGAUGCAGCGGAUUUUCCAAUGGCGGCAGCAAAAAUGAUGAAGUAUAGCGGUCAUAAAAAGGCGUGUGAAAUAUUGCUGGGUGUGUUUAUAGUAGUAUGGAUCCUAUCCAGACUUGUUUACUAUCCAUUUGUUCUUAGCAGUAUAAAUGGGUCACAGCUAAUCAGUUAGGAAGCAGGCAAAUGACAUAGCACAGAUAUAAGACAGCACGUAUUGAACGAGUUACCUUACAGUUAGCUUUAUAUUCAGCCAUCAUCGAAGCCAAUCAAAUUGUUGGGUCUUGGUUUGCCCAUUAUGUGUUUAUUGGCUUACUGCUUACCCUACAAAUUCUACAUCUAAUAUGGACGUAUAUGAUAGCUAG
rnacentral:misc_RNA from 1 species